rnacentral:rRNA from 2 species
GGUUAAGUGACUAAGCGUACACGGUGGAUGCCUGGGCAGUCAGAGGCGAUGAAGGACGUACUAACUUGCGAUAAGCGCAGAUAAGGCAGUAAGAGCCGUUUGAGUCUGCGAUUUCCGAAUGGGGAAACCCAACUGCAUAAGCAGUUACUGUUAACUGAAUACAUAGGUUAACAGAGCAAACCGGGGGAACUGAAACAUCUAAGUACCCCGAGGAGAAGAAAUCAACCGAGAUUCCGGUAGUAGCGGCGAGCGAACCUGGAUUAGCCCUUAAGCACUCGGUGAAGUAGGUGAACAAGCUGGAAAGCUUGGCGAUACAGGGUGAUAGCCCCGUAACCGACGCUUCAUCGAGCGUGAAAUCGAGUAGGGCGGGACACGUGAUAUCCUGUCUGAAUAUGGGGGGACCAUCCUCCAAGGCUAAAUACUCCUGACUGACCGAUAGUGAACCAGUACCGUGAGGGAAAGGCGAAAAGAACCCCUGUGAGGGGAGUGAAAUAGAACCUGAAACCGUGUACGUACAAGCAGUAGGAGCACCUUCGUGGUGUGACUGCGUACCUUUUGUAUAAUGGGUCAGCGACUUAUAUUCAGUGGCAAGGUUAACCGUAUAGGGGAGCCGUAGCGAAAGCGAGUCUUAACUGGGCGCUCAGUCUCUGGAUAUAGACCCGAAACCGGGUGAUCUAGCCAUGGGCAGGUUGAAGGUUGAGUAACAUCAACUGGAGGACCGAACCGACUAAUGUUGAAAAAUUAGCGGAUGACUUGUGGCUAGGGGUGAAAGGCCAAUCAAACUCGGAGAUAGCUGGUUCUCCCCGAAAGCUAUUUAGGUAGCGCCUCGGACGAAUACUACUGGGGGUAGAGCACUGUUAAGGCUAGGGGGUCAUCCCGACUUACCAACCCUUUGCAAACUCCGAAUACCAGUAAGUACUAUCCGG